AGAGUUUGAUCAUGGCUCAGGACGAACGCUGGCGGCGUGCUUAACACAUGCAAGUCGAGCGGAGCCAAGUUGAUAGUUUACUAUUGACUGAAGCUUAGCGGCGGACGGGUGAGUAACGCGUGGGCAACCUGCCCUCUAGCCUGGGAUAACAGCGCGAAAGUGCUGCUAACACCGGAUAUGCUCACAAGGAGGCAUCUCCUGGUGAGGAAAGUUUACACUAGAGGAUGGGCCCGCGUCCCAUUAGCUAGUUGGUGAGGUAACGGCCCACCAAGGCGACGAUGGGUAGCCGACCUGAGAGGGUGAUCGGCCACAUUGGAACUGAGACACGGUCCAAACUCCUACGGGAGGCAGCAGUGGGGAAUAUUGCACAAUGGGCGAAAGCCUGAUGCAGCAACGCCGCGUGAGCGAUGAAGGCCUUCGGGUCGUAAAGCUCUGUCCUCAAGGAAGAUAAUGACGGUACUUGAGGAGGAAGCCCCGGCUAACUACGUGCCAGCAGCCGCGGUAAU
rnacentral:rRNA from 1 species